rnacentral:lncRNA from 1 species
AAAUGUGGGGCAGAUGGGGGGUAGAUAUGGGGCAGAGAGGGGGCAAAAUGUGGCUCUAUGGGGCAGGGAUCUAUGGGGAAGAGAUCUAUGGGGCAGGGCUCUAUGGGGCAAUGGGGCUCUAUGGGGCAAUGGGGCUCUAUGGGGCAGGGAUAUGUGGGGCAAUGGGGCUCUAUGGGGCAGGGAUAUGUGGGGCAGGGAUAUGUGGGGCAAUGGGGAUCUAUGGGGCAGGGAUAUGUGGGGCAAUGGGGAUCUAUGGGGCAGGGAUAUGUGGGGCAAUGGGGCUCUAUGGGGCACGGAUAUAGAGGGUAGGGAUCUAUGGGGCAGGGAUAUAGGGGGCAGGGAUCUAUGGGGCAAUGGGGCUCUAUGGGGCAGGGCCUCACUUAUGGGGCAGGGAUAUAGGGGGCAGGGAUCUAUGGGGCAGGGCUCUAUGGGGAAAAGAUCUAUGGGGCAGGGAUCUAUGGGGCAAUGGGGCUCUAUGGGGCAGGGAUAUGUGGGGCAAUGGGGCUCUAUGGGGCAGGGAUAUAGGGGGAAGGGCUCUAUGGGCCAGGGCUCUAUGGGGCAGGGAUCUAUGGGGCAAUGGGGCUCUAUGGGGCAAUGGGGCUCUAUGGGGCAGGGCUCAGCCGACACAACAAGGAUUCCUCAAGGGCUGUGCGGCUGUAAGGGGGGAUAUGGGGGGUAAAAUGGGGGGCAGAAGGGGGUAA